rnacentral:rRNA from 1 species
GACGAACGCUGGCGGCGUGCUUAACACAUGCAAGUCGAACGGAAAGGCCCUGCUUUUGUGGGGUGCUCGAGUGGCGAACGGGUGAGUAACACGUGAGUAACCUGCCCUUGACUUUGGGAUAACUUCAGGAAAAUGGGGCUAAUACCGGAUAGGAGCUCCUGCUGCAUGGUGGGGGUUGGAAAGUUUCGGCGGUUGGGGAUGGCCUCGCGGCUUAUCAGCUUGUUGGUGGGGUAGUGGCUUACCAAGGCUUUGACGGGUAGGCGGCCUGAGAGGGUGACCGGCCACAUGGGGACUGAGGUACGGACCAGACUCCAACGGGAGGCAGCAGGGGGGAAUCUUGCACAACGGGCGCAAGCCUGAUGCAGCAACGCCGCGAGCGGGAUGACGGCCUUUGGGUUGUAAACCGCUUUCGCCUGUGACGAAGAGUGCGUGACGGUAAUGGGUAAAGAAGCACCGGCUAACUACGUG